AGUCGAGGGGGGGGUUUGGGCGAGGGGAGGCGAGUGGCUUAGUGCAUCACACAUGUCUGCAUAAUGAAGUCAAGUUUCUGAAUAUCUGAAACAGAAGAGGAAAACUCCAGUGUUUCUUUGGAAGGAGCAGCAGGAUUGACCUUGGCCCCCCACUGCUCCAUCCUAAUAGAGAUAUGGUACCACUGACCAACAUUCGACUCAGAGUCUUUGAAAUACACAAACUUAAUACGACUACUUCUAUACAUAUUUAACUGCUAUUUUACACUGUUAUUAUCCUAACCUACUUAAACGUUACAAUGAGAGGUGGCAUUCUCUGUAUUUUCAUGGGUUUGGAGCUUUGUUUAUAUUAUGAGCAUGACUUAAAAGUCAGAUGAUAUUACCUGGCCAUCCAUCCAGCAGCAGACGCGAAGAGCUGGGGGCGAUUUGUUUUCCCAUGGGUGACUGUUUCUGCCAGUGCAGCAUAUUGUCACAGCAGGGCAUAUUGUCUGUGUCCAGCACUCUUGUCCUAGCACUGUGAAAGUCAGGCGUUCAGUGAAGCUAACAGAUCUCGAUGCACACACACACAGGCACACACACAGGCACACACACAGGCACACACACACAGGCACACACACAGGCACACACACAGGCACACACAGGCACACACACACACAGGCACAGGCACACGCACAGGUACAGGCACACACACAGGCACACGCACAGGCACACGCACAGGCACACGCACAGGCACACGCACAGGCACACACACAGGCACAGGCACAGGCGCACACACACAGGCACACACACAGGCACACACACAGGCACACACACAGGCACACACAGGCACACACACACACAGGCACACACACACACAGGCACACACACACACAGGCACACACACAGGCACACACACAGGCACACACACAGGCACACACACACAGGCACACACACAGGCACACACACACACAGGCACACACACACACAGGCACACACACACAGGCACACACACACAGGCACACACACACAGGCACACACACAGGCACACACACAGGCACACAGAUUGCAGUUGCAUUCCCUGGCAUCGUUUACCACGAGGAGGAUUGUUCAUAGAGCUCGUUUCCAGUUUGUAUUCUCUCUAAAUGUGAGCCACACUGGGCCACUAUGAGACAAUAUAAACACACACACACAGACACUGAGAUACAGGUGUGAUCUUCAGACCAGUGAAAGAGUCACUGUGGAAGGCUUUUAAGCGGAAAUCCCUGCGUUUACAUUUUUUGUAGCUUCCAGGAGAGAAGGAGGGACCUUCAGAGUGUGAUGGAAAUGAUUAGAUAGAACUAGCAUUAGAAGAGAGAGAGUGAGCGUAUGUAUGUACGUAUGUAUAUGUGUGUGUGUGUGUGUGUAGUCACAUCAGGGGUGGCUAUGGCGAUUAAAAACAAAUACUUGAUGUCAGCAUGUAAACUGGUGAUGCUUGUCUUUGUAAGACAUUGUUACCUCCCUCAAUAAACACUCUCUUACCAAGGAAGGAAUUUCACAACUUAACAAUUUUCACAAUUUCCAGAGGGGGACCAUAUACUAGACUGGCUCCUGUAUGCUGGUUUGCUUUUCACCCUUCACACAAUGAUGGUGCUCUACAGGGUGCGUGUUUCAUUUCAAACAAAGGGCCGGAACACUUUACUCUGUUACAGGUUGACGUCUCUCUUACUCAUUUGGGAAUUAUUAUUUGCUGGUUUCUGGUCACUAUGACGUUUCUCUCUUAGACCUUGAGCUCUGUUAUGGCUGCAGCAAUUUAACUUUCUUUAUUCUGGAAAAGUUUGAGCUCAUAUAUAUAUAUAUAUAUAUAUAUUUCUUUUUUGUAUAAAAAUCUGAACAUAUUUUUACUCAUUAAAUACUAGUUCUGUGUGUGGCUUCUUAUCCUGGUUUCUCAUUUAUCGGAAAUGUCCUAUAUAAACUGUACAUUAUGGAACACUGUAACAAUACUCCCAAACGAAACAUUUUAGGGUGUUUUGUCUUUAUAUGUAUAACAAUAUCACUACACAUGGUGAGGCUCGUGUGUGUGGGUGUCUGAGAGAGAGUAAUACUGUGUGAGACAGAAAUACCACACACACACACUCAUCUAUAAAUACUCUGAAUAGCUCCAUCUGUGGCCUUUCAGAUCAGACUGGAGCUCCUUUUGUGAAGGAGCGACUGUAGGCCCUGUCAGGGGCUGUGCUGUGCUGUCCUGUCCUGUCCUGUCCUGAGGACAUUCAAUUCAAUUCAAUUUGAUUUAUAUAACAAUACAAUUGUCUCUAGGCGCUUUACAGAGCCCAGAGCCUGAACCCCCUUAGUGCAAGCACAUUGGCAACACGGGCAAGAAAAAACUCCCUGUUGGUCAGGAAGGAACCUUAAGCAGAACCACGGCACAUAAGGGGGAACCCAUCUGCUUGAGGUCGGCCGGGUGGAGACAUGCAUCUGUACACAUUGCCUGCCCAGCUCUUUCUUUCUGUCUCUCUCUCUCUGUCGGUCGGGUCUGUCUGUCUCUCUCUCUCCCCCCGGGGAAGAUGGGACACCACUGCUGCAGGGAGGCCUCUCCGCACAGACCUCCUCCCAGUGCAGCUGAGGCCACGGCACGGCUGAGUUAUAACAGUUUGGCACACUUAUGUUAUUGCUUUUCUCUCUGUCUCUCUCGUAGUUUGGCCUAGCUACAAUAUCACACACACUCUCUAAAACAUGACACACAUACACUUUCAGACUUUCUCUCAGUGUGGCUGUGCUAUAAUCUCUAUCUCUUUCUCAAACACUCUCGCUCUCUCUAGGAGGAACAAAAAUAGCUGAUGGCUUCUUUGCCGUGUAGAAUCGUGGAGAAUUGCGGAAUAAUUGCAUUUGGGCC
ensembl:lncRNA